rnacentral:rRNA from 1 species
GAAGUAAAAGUCGUAACAAGGUUUCCGUAGGUGAACCUGCGGAAGGAUCAUUAUUGAUUGGUCGAAAGACCUUAUCAGAUUCUACCACCUCUGUGAACCGUUGACCUCCGGGUUAAUAAUCAAACAUCAGUGUAACGAACGUAAGAGUAUCUUAAUUAAACAAAACUUUUAACAACGGAUCUCUUGGCUCUCGCAUCGAUGAAGAACGCAGCGAAAUGCGAUAAGUAAUGUGAAUUGCAGAAUUCAGUGAAUCAUCGAAUCUUUGAACGCACCUUGCGCCUUUUGGUAUUCCGAAAGGCAUGCCUGUUUCAGUGUCAUGAAAUCUCAAUCUAAUAUGUUUUCUGAACAUGUUAGGCUUGGACUUGGGUGUCUGCCAGCAAUGGCUCACCUCAAAUGACUUAGUGGAACAUCCCACAUCAGUGUUAGACGUAAUAAGUUUCGUCUCUCCUUGUGGUGAUGACUGCUCAAAACCUGCCAUCGCGCACCUUUUGACUUUGACCUGAAAUCAGGUAGGGCUACCCGCUGAACUUAA